rnacentral:rRNA from 1 species
UACGAAGGGUGCAAGCGUUAAUCGGAAUUACUGGGCGUAAAGGGUGCGUAGGCGGUUCGUUAAGUCUGUCGUGAAAUCCCCGGGCUCAACCUGGGAAUGGCGAUGGAUACUGGCGAGCUAGAGUGUGUCAGAGGAUGGUGGAAUUCCCGGUGUAGCGGUGAAAUGCGUAGAGAUCGGGAGGAACAUCAGUGGCGAAGGCGGCCAUCUGGGUUAACACUGACGCUCAGGCACGAAAGCGUGGGGAGCAAACAGG